GCACGGUAAGAGGCAUGAAAUCGCGGCCACUCUGCUUCGUUGUGGUGACACACGCAUCGGAUUAAACUGUGCAUGUAAACGUACUAGUACGUCUAAACUAACUAGUAUGUUUACAUGCAUGGCAGAUCAGAGAAUUCUGUCAGUUCGGUCGCGGCGCAACGAAUGAAUAAAGAUCGUUAGCACUCUGAAAAACAGAUGACAGAUGUGCCCUUAGUCACUACUUUAUUACCUCGUUGAUGACCAACGUUUAGGAAAACAUGUACUUUUAAUUCACCCUUGGGUGAAAUCGAAGCGUAGUGUGUACUGAAUGCGUGUUGAUGAUGAUGCAUAUGAAUUGCAACUUACACGUCUUCCAAACCUUUUCAGUACCCUGGCACAUGCUUUGUCCAAUGGACCAUGGAAGGGACUUUACUUGGCUGACGAGGUAAAACGUGUGGCUGGCGCACGAUUCAUUGCAUCUCGUAGAGUAGCAUUCACUGGUAGACAGGCAGGCCUCUAGAUUGUUUAUUAUGAUUUAAUGAAGUGUUCCUAUGUGACGCUCAUGGGCCCUGGUUGCUGCUAAAUGCUUGUUCAAAGUGCAUUGUGCACUUUUUGUAUGUAGCUACAAAAUGAGGGUGGAUAUCACUUUAUAGUUUAUAGGCAUUAUAUACUAAUAAGAAUCAUUGACAAAUCACAUUCCCCUUUUACCACCACAGGACGCACCUCACCAGUAUCAGAGCAACAUCUGUGGGGUGUUUAUGCUGAUGGUGAGAUGCAUUAUUUUCAGAAAUGAUGACUGAUGACUAGUUUGCAAAACAACUAACUCAUUUGUAUGUUAAUUUCAGUACGCAAUGUAUUCUACCCUCAAAAGCAAUAUGAUUUCAGUCAUCUCAAUCAGAUGUGUAGCAUGAAAUAUAAGGCUUUUAAUAAUCUAGUCAUCCUUACUGGAGGCUACAAUUAACAUGCAUCAUAGGUCAUACACAUUAUUUGUCUUCAGGCACUGCACUUACGGGAGGAGAUGGCUACAUCUUCACAAUAAUUUACACUGCUAAACAGUACUGUAACAUGGAUUUGUAUUAGGCUAUGAAGUCAUUUAAAGCAUAACUUUACUUUUCAGGGGGACAUGCUCUAUCAGGAGGUGGUGGUUGGACAGCUGUUGGAGACCUUUAUGCUUGAAAGCCCUGCAGAACUAGCUGGCUCCUUCUCACCCUCUCCAUCUCCCCAUCUCAGUUACACCUUCCAAUCACUAAGCAGUGAAAGCCCUGCAGGACUAGCUGGCACACCAAGCUCACCCUCUCCAUCUCCCCAUCUCAGCCACACGCUCCAAUCUGGCACAACAGAGGACAGGCCAUUCUUACCAACCUAAGUCCUUCAGUAAAUUGUACAAGAGAC